rnacentral:rRNA from 1 species
UACGUAGGGUGCAAGCGUUAUCGGAAUUACUGGGCGUAAAGCGUGCGCAGGCGGUUUAUGUAAGACAGAUGUGAAAUGCCCGGGCUUAACCUGGAACUGCAUUUGUGACUGCAAUGGCUAGAGUUGGCAGAGGGGGGUGAGAAUUCCACGUGUAGCAGUGAAAUGCGUAGAUAUGUGGAGGAACACCGAUGGCGAAGGCAGCCCCCUGGGUCAAGAUUGACGCUCAUGCAC